rnacentral:rRNA from 1 species
AGCCGCGGUAAUACGAAGGGUGCAAGCGUUACUCGGAAUUACUGGGCGUAAAGCGUGCGUAGGUGGUCGUUUAAGUCCGUUGUGGAAGCCCUGGGCUCAACCCGGGAACUGCAGUGGAUACUGGGCGACUAGAGUGUGGUAGAGGGUAGCGGAAUUCCUGGUGUUGCAGUGAAAUGCGUAGAGAUCAGGAGGAACAUCCAUGGCGAAGGCAGCUACCUGGACCAACACUGACACUGAGGCACGAAAGCGUGGGGAGCAAACAGGAUUAGAUACCCUGGUAGUCCACGCCCUAAACGACGCGAACUGGAUGUUGGGUGCAAUUUGGCACGCAGUAUCGAAGCUAACGCGUUAAGUUCGCCGCCUGGGGAGUACGGUCGCAAGACUGAAACUCAAAGGAAUUGACGGGGGCCCGCACAAGCGGUGGAGUAUGUGGUUUAAUUCGAUGCAACGCGAAGAACCUUACCUGGCCUUGACAUGUCGAGAACUUUCCAGAGAUGGAUUGGUGCCUUCGGGAACUCGAACACAGGUGCUGCAUGGCUGUCAUCAGCUCGUGUCGUGAGAUGUUGGGUUAAGUCCCGCAACGAGCGCAACCCUUGUCCUUAGUUGCCAGCACGUAAUGGGUGGGAACUCUAAGGAGACCGCCGGGUGA